rfam:Oryza rufipogon genomic scaffold, chr08
AAUAAAUGUAGUUUUGCAUCGUUCGUGUCUAGCGGUUGACCGUUUAUUUUAUUUAUUUUUUUAUUGUUAUUAGAUGAUAAAAUAUGAAUAGUACUUUAUGUGUGAAUAUUUUAUUUAAAUUUUUGUCAAAUAAGACGAACGGUCAAAUGUUAGGCACGGAUAUCCAAAGCUACACUUAUU